GGCGGCGCUGCGGGCAGGCGGGCGCAGACAGCCGGGCAGGCGGGCGGGCGGCCCUUCGCGCCGGUAGGCGCGGCACCUGCGGGCAGAAGCAUCGGCUGCGCAGAGCCCAGACGACCCGACUCCGAGCUGCCGCUGAGAUGAGCGCAGUGUCGGAGCCCCAGGCUGCCCACAGUGCCCCGGAGAAGCCGGCCAGCACGGCGAUCCUGUGUAACACCUGCGGGAACGUGUGCAGGGGGGAGGUGCUGCGGGUGCAGAGCAAGUACUUCCACAUCCAGUGCUUCGUCUGCAAAGAAUGCGGCUGUGACCUGGCCGAGGGCGGCUUCUUCGUGCGGCAGGGCGAGUACAUCUGCACCCAGGACUACCAGAGACUGUACGGGACCCGCUGCUUCAGCUGCGAUCAGUUCAUCGAGGGCGAGGUGGUGUCGGCGCUGGGCAAGACCUACCACCCAAACUGCUUCGUGUGUGCCGUCUGCCGGUUGCCCUUCCCGCCCGGGGACCGAGUGACCUUCAACGGCAAGGAAUGCAUGUGCCAGAAGUGCUCCCUGCCCACCUCAGCGGGCAGCAGCGUGCCCCUGUCCCAGGGCCUCUGGAGUUGCAAGGGCUGCGGAGUGGAGAUUAAAAACGGCCAGUCCCUGGUGGCCCUGGAGAAACACUGGCAUCUGGGCUGUUUCAAGUGCAAGACGUGCGGGAAACAACUGAACGCGGAGUAUAUCAGCAAGGAUGGGCUGCCCUACUGUGAGGCGGACUAUCACAGCAAGUUCGGGAUCCGCUGCGAUGGCUGUGAGAAGUACAUCACGGGGCACGUGCUGGAGGCGGGGGAGAAGCACUUCCACCCUCUGUGUGCGCUAUGUGUCGGGUGCGGCCGGAUGUUCGCGGAAGGCGAGGAGAUGUAUCUGCAAGGCUCCUCCAUCUGGCACCCGGCAUGUCGACAGGCAGCCAGAACUGAAGACAAAAGCAAGGAAACCAGAACCUCUUCAGAGAGCAUCAUUUCCGUCCCUGCUUCCAGCACCUCAGGGUCUCCGAGCCGCGUGAUUUAUGCCAAGCUGGGUGAUGAGAUCCUUGACUACAGAGACCUGGCCGCUCUCCCUAAGAACAAGGCCAUCUACAGCAUCGACCGCCCCGACAUGAUCUCCUACUCGCCCUUCAUCAGCCACUCGGUGGGGGACAGGCAGAGCUGCAGCGAGUCCCCACGGCUGCUCUCGCCGACGCCGCCCGAGGGGUAUCAGGAUGACCGCUCCUACAAGCAGUGCCGGACCUCCAGCCCGAGCUCCACCGGGUCGGUCAGCCUCGGCCGUUACACCCCGACCUUGCGGUCGCCCCAGCACUACAGCCGUCCAGCUGGUACUGUGAGUGUUGGUACCAGUAGCUGCCUGUCCCUGUCCCAACACCCAAGCCCUACCUCCGUGUUCAGACAUCAUUACAUCCCCUACUUCCGAGGCAGUGAAAGUGGCCGGAGCACCUCCAGCCUCUCCGUGCUCUCAGACAACAAGCCUCCCCCCUCCACCUACCAGCAGGCUCCUCGCCACUUCCACGUCCCAGACACUGGCGUCAAAGAUAACAUCUAUAGGAAACCCCCCAUCUACAAGCAGCAUGGUCCUGUAGCCCAAUCCCCAAUUUCCAAGCUCUCGGGCCUGAUGUCAGUCUUGUCCUUGGUGGUGCACAAGGCAGGGUGCUCCAAAAGGCUAGAAGGUCCGAGCCCUCCGCAGGCUGCAGCCGGGCGGCGAUCAGAUGGGGAGGACGGAAGUUUCGACGCGGAUAACAGGAAGCAGAAGACCAACUGGCUGCUUCUCAAGGGGGACGGAGACACUAGGACCAACUCUCCAGACCUAGACAGCCAGUCUUUGGCCCACAGUAGCGGGACUGAUAGAGGUCCUCUCCAAACGAUGCCAGGGGACAACAUUUACUCACGGUUCCCCUAUUCCAAGUCUGACCCUGUCCCAGGACAUGGCAAGAAUGGCUUGGACAACCGGAAUGCCAAUCUGGCCCCUUGUGGAGCAGACCUGGAUGCCAGCUGGGGCACGCGAGAAUACAAGGUAAGAGGGGCCGCCCGCUCCCGCGCUGACCUCCUGCACCUGCCCAGGUUAAAAGUUCCUUUUGUGCUUUCCCUGUGAAGUGUGUGUGUCAGAUGCAGACGCAAAUCUAUCCUUAUGACGCCCUCAUCGUCACAAACCGAAUCCGCGUGAAGCUGCCUAAAGACGUGGACCGGACGAGACUGGAGAGACACUUGUCGCCCGAGGAGUUCCAGGAAGUGUUUGGGAUGAGCAUGGAAGAGUUUGACCGCCUGGCCCUCUGGAAGAGGAACGACCUCAAGAAGAAAGCCCUGCUGUUUUGACGCGCCGAGGCCCUGACCACGGGCAUGCCUGCGGGAGCCACCAGACCCCUCCUCUUGCACUUGGCUUCGGCUUCUCUAUGUCCACGGUGGACGGUGGGCGCCUGGAAGGGCCGGGCUGGGGCCUGGGGUGGGGAGGAGGUCCCAGAGCAGGUGCAGCCCCCCCCCACCCCCGUUUCUGCCAGCAGUGCUCCCGCCCGUAGUUUAGGGCCCAGACGCCUGGCUUUGCACUACUCCUUCCCCGCUGUUGCUUGCCAUCACGGAGAUGCUGCAAGGUCACUGCCCCGGAGAUGGGGGAACAGACAAGGGCAGCCCAGCCCCCAGGCCUCCGGGCAGUGCCCACCCCACGCUGGUAGGACAGAGGCGAUGGGACCGGAGAUUUGAGGAGGUCUGUCGAUGACAGGGUCAUGGGUGGGUGGGCGCACGGCGUGGCCCCCCUCACCCGCUCAGCCUCAGGAGGCACGGCCUGGCACACGGGCCCCCCACCCCCGAGGCAGGGGGAGUGCCACCCAGGGCUGCAAGAAGCAUGGGGCUCGGUUUUUACGGCCUUUGUGAUGAAUCGCUGUUUAGGGAGGAACUUCAGUCUAGACAGGCACCUUCUGCCAGGGCCCGCCGUGCACUGCAUUUUUCUUCCAGAUCAUCCCUUAGAUGCCUAAAUGAUAUCUUUAGAGUAACACAAAAGUUUUUAUUUUAUUAAAAAGUAGAGCCUA